GGGAUGGAGAGGAGGAGCCGGGGUGUGUGAAUCACGUGGGCCGUUCAAACGCGGAGACAUCGUAAGCCGCCCAUUCACGGGACUACGCAGUGAGGGGGGUUGUUAUUACUGUGAAGAGAGUGAUGAGUGCGGGGGCACCUGUGAGCGGCCUGGCAACGGGGCGAGGGCGGUGCCAGCUGAUCAGUCGCACCCCGUUAAGGCUACCCCAAUAGUAGUGCAGAUUUUGGAAGUCUUAUCGUACAUAACCAUAAACAUGAAAUCUUUGAGCUCUAC
rnacentral:lncRNA from 1 species